AGGUUGAGGAGCUUGCUCCGAAAACCUAGCGGCGAACGGUCGCGUAACACGUAAGCAACCUGCCCUGAAGUGGGGGAUAGCCCGCCGAAAGGCGGAUUAAUACCGCAUGUGAACACUUUCUCGCAUGUUAGAGUGUUUAAAGCAGCAAUGCGCUUCAGGAUGGGCUUGCGGCCUAUCAGCUAGUUGGUGGGGUAACGGCCUACCAAGGCGACGACGGGUAGCUGGUCUGAGAGGAUGGUCAGCCGGACUGGGACUGAGACACGGCCCAGACUCCUACGGGGGGCAGCAAUUAGGAAUCUUGCGCAAUGGGCGAAAGCCUGACGCAGCGACGUCGCGUGACUGAUGAAGUCCUUCGGGAUGUAAAGGUCUUUUGCAGGGGAAGAAGGAUGUGACGGUACCCUGCGAAUAAGCCCCGGCUAACUACGUGCCAGCAGCCGCGGUAAUACGUAGGGGGCGAGCGUUGUCCGAAUUUACUGGGCGUAAAGCGCGCGUAGGCGGGUUAUUAAGUUGGUGGUGAAAUCCCGAGGCUCAACCUCGGAACUGCCUCCAAAACUGGUAGCCUUGAGGUAUGGAGAGGGAAGUGGAAUUCCUGGUGUAGCGGUGAAAUGCGUAGAUAUCAGGAGGAACACCUGUGGCGAAGGCGGCUUCCUGGCCAUAUCCUGACGCUGAGGUGCGAAAGCUAGGGGAGCGAACGGGAUUAGAUACCCCGGUAGUCCUAGCCGUAAACGAUGGAUACUAGGUGUUAGAGGUAUCGACCCCUCUAGUGCCGGAGCUAACGCAUUAAGUAUCCCGCCUGGGGAG
rnacentral:rRNA from 1 species